CUGGCCUGAGGAAGGAGUGUGAAGGGAUGAAUGAAAAGUCCGGAGCCUGAGAGCGCCCCCGCCAGAGCAGCGGCCGAGGCUGAGGAGGGAGCUGGGACUCGAGACCCCGCUCCACCCUGCCGGCUCCGGCUCGGCCUCGUCCGUCACCUGGUAAGCCCGGGUACCCUCGACUCAGUCCGCGGAGUUGCCUGGGUGGGAACGCACCGGAAGACUGCGCAGGACAGCACCACUGGGCACCCUGGGCUUGAUGUAAGUGGCUUGACCCGCGUGGGGCACGAGGUGGGGAAGCGCCCCAGAGGCCAGCGCGCGUCUGCCACCUGCGAGCACAGAGCCAGCCCCACACCCUCUGUGCGACCCUGGACCUCGCAGUGGAUUCAGUCCGGAUCGCCACCCCCCACCCCUGUCAACAACUAAGGGCAUCUCUCGUUCAGACCCCCGCUUCUCCCCUGGGCGGGUGGGUGCUCCACCCUCCCGCCCUCUCCGCUCUGUGGACAAGGACGUGAGGACCAGAGACAUCCAGCACCACGGACAGCUCCCAGCGAUGACCCAGAAAGCCAGGUGUGGUGCUUCACACCUGUAAUCUCAGCACCUGGACAUCUGGGGCAGAAGAAUGGUUCCCAGGACAGCUGCAGGACCAGAGCUGAGAACAAGACCCUGUGAUGAUGCUAGGGAAGGUGCUUACACCCGGCUCAUUGUCUGCUGGAGGAGGGUUACCUUUCCUAGACUACUUUCUCUGUCUGCUCAUGAGGUCUCUAUUCACAGAAUACAUUGAUUAAUGAGUGUGCGUGUGUAUGAGUAUGUGUUUGAGUGUAAGUGUUCAACUGUGUUUGAGUGUGUAUCUGACAGAGAGAGGGG
rnacentral:lncRNA from 1 species